GUCUGUGCUAUAAAAUAGCCUUAACAUCUGAUCUCAGCAGCUAAACAGGAUUGCACCUAAUUAGUACUUGAAUGGGAAAUCUGCUGGGAAUACAGGCAUCAUAGGCU
rnacentral:rRNA from 1 species